UACGGAGGGUGCGAGCGUUGUCCGGAAUCAUUGGGCGUAAAGGGCGCGUAGGUGGCGGGACAAGCGUGCGGUGAAAGCCUGGGGCUCAACCCCGGGUCGGCCGUGCGAACUGUUUUGCUUGAGCACUGUAGAGGCAGGCGGAAUUCCGGGUGUAGCGGUGGAAUGCGUAGAGAUCCGGAAGAACACCGGUGGCGAAGGCGGCCUGCUGGGCAGUAGCUGACGCUGAGGCGCGACAGCGUGGGGAGCCAACAGG
rnacentral:rRNA from 1 species